AUUGAACGCUGGCGGCAUGCCUAAUACAUGCAAGUCGAGCGAAUGACGAGGAGCUUGCUCCUCUGAUUUAGCGGCGGACGGGUGAGUAACACGUGGGUAAUCUGCCUGUAAGACGGGGAUAACUCCGGGAAACCGGGGCUAAUACCGGAUAAUAAGAGAAGAAGCAUUUCUUCUUUUUGAAAGUCGGUUUCGGCUGACACUUACAGAUGAGCCCGCGGCGCAUUAGCUAGUUGGUGAGGUAACGGCUCACCAAGGCGACGAUGCGUAGCCGACCUGAGAGGGUGAUCGGCCACACUGGGACUGAGACACGGCCCAGACUCCUACGGGAGGCAGCAGUAGGGAAUCUUCGGCAAUGGGCGAAAGCCUGACCGAGCAACGCCGCGUGAGCGAUGAAGGCCUUCGGGUCGUAAAGCUCUGUUGUUAGAGAAGAACAAGUACGAGAGUAACUGCUCGUACCUUGACGGUACCUAACCAGAAAGCCACGGCUAACUACGUGCCAGCAGCCGCGGUAAAAC
rnacentral:rRNA from 1 species